rnacentral:rRNA from 1 species
ACCCGCUGAACUUAAGCAUAUCAAUAAGCGGAGGAAAAGAAACCAACAGGGAUUGCCUUAGUAACGGCGAGUGAAGCGGCAAAAGCUCAAAUUUGAAAUCUGGCCUUCAGGUCCGAGUUGUAAUUUGUAGAGGAUGCUUCGAGUGUGGUCUGGUCUAAGUUCCUUGGAACAGGACGUCAUAGAGGGUGAGAAUCCCGUAUGCGACUAGAUACCUAAGCUCAUGUGAAGCUCCUUCGACGAGUCGAGUUGUUUGGGAAUGCAGCUCAAAAUGGGUGGUAAAUUUCAUCUAAAGCUAAAUAUUGGCCAGAGACCGAUAGCGCACAAGUAGAGUGAUCGAAAGAUGAAAAGCACUUUGGAAAGAGAGUUAAACAGUACGUGAAAUUGUUGAAAGGGAAGCGCUUGCAACCAGACUUGCGUAUAGUUGAUCAUCCGAUGUUCUCACCGGUGCACUCAGCUGUAUUCAGGCCAGCAUCGGUUCUGGUGGUUGGAUAAAGGCCUUGGGAAUGUAGCUUCUUUCGGGGAGUGUUAUAGCCCUCGGUGCAAUGCAGCCUAUUGGGACCGAGGACCGCGCUUCGGCUAGGAUGUUGGCGUAAUGGUUGUAAGCGACCCGUCUUGAAACACGG